AGUGUUGCAUGUAGUCUCCGUUCGCUCGUCCGGUGUUCGUCCUCUGUCCACAUGUAGGGCUUACUGCUGGGCGAAACCGACCCUUUACCAGGUCGGGGCCAGAUGCUCACCCAGACCCCAGGAUUGUUUGUGACACUCUGUAAUCGCCAUGGACACCAUAAAUAUCAGCAACAUUGGAAGUGUCAGCGUUGCAGGUGUAGUGCUCCUCUUGACGAGUGGUUCUUGAUCCCAUCGUCUGUCCCUCAGUUGUUCUGGAGUUGGCUUCGGUCUGCCAACGAAGAAUUUCUGUAGAAAACUCGCACCUAGACUCAGUUUUUGCAGAUAUGCUACUUAUAUCUGGUAUUACUUUUCGCGAUGGUACCCACAGAAUUUCCCAGAUUCAUGAUGUUUAACUGCUGCAUACCCGACCACGGAUACCCUUUAGCAAGCCCUUCCUGUGAUCAGGAGGCCCUGACUGGCCUCCCCCACAGGGGCAUUGUGCUCUAACAUGGCCAUACUGGCCGUAUCGGAAACACAGCCCUUGCUGCUGCAGCGAUCUUUGCUGUCGCAGGCCAACAGCUACGACAAUAGCUGUGACUAGCCUUUCAUUAGUUAAAUGAGCCACCUUGAGCUUAUCUAAGACAUACUGAAUAACUUCUCCCGAGGUAUUAAGCGUACUUCGGCCGGCUCGCAGCAAUGCCUUAACAUUGUCAUGCGAUUUCUGCUGCAAGCAGUCAAUGAUCACUGGCCCUUGGGCCGGUACCAGGAGAUCAGACCCCUCUGCAGCAGCUAAAAGCCUGUCUGUAAAGCUUUGAAAGGAUUCAUUCGGGCCCUGGGUAAUAUCUGUGCACGGAGUAGGUGGUUCGGCCUUAUGCACAAGUUUAUUAAACGCUUCCACCACUGCAUCUGUGGCUGCUAUUAGCUCCCCUGGCCUUAGUCUCGCUAGCUGGCCCUGGGGCGAAGCCACUCCCACGGCCUUCCCUGAAAGCCGCUGUAUUCCGGUCCCAUGCAGGGAGCGGCGCGGGCCGACCCCUGUCGCCCCGGCACGGCCCCCCAACUCGGCCACCCAGUCCGUCUCCCAUAACGUAUAUUGAACCAGCCUGAGCAUCGUACGCAUUAAGUUUGUGAUGUCACGGGGGAAGAGAGGCCCCAGUGCAGCCAAAGUUUGUAGUGCAUUUAAUGUCAGAGGCGAUUUCAGGCCUCUUUUAUCCAUAAAUUCCACCAGGCGCGUAACACCCCCGGGGUCAGGCGGCACCCAUUCGGGACCACGAUCACUCACAAUCACCCGGAAUGCCUCUGGAACUAUACCCUUUCCCAAAGCCUCCGAUCUAAUCCCAUUCCAGUCCGUCAUUUGAUCCCUCCCCCUGCACUCAAAGCCAGUCCCUUCUUUCUCUUCUACACUAUCACUCGCACUACCGCCCCUGGGAGUGACCAGAGACAGUAGGCUAUGCCCCCUGUCCGCAUUGGACGGACCUUUUGUCUGGUCCCUCCCCAUGUGGGCACUAAGUUGAUCCUGCCCGUGUAGAUCACAGCUUCCUCCGCCCCCUUGAGUCAGGUAACACUGACGUAAUUCUGAUAAAGGAUACAACGUUCCGCCUGAGGGGUUUGGAUACGGGGGAGGGGGACGAGACAACGAACUUUCACUCUCUUGUUGUUUGUCUUCUUUUGAACUGAGCGCGGUCGGCUCAGCCGGCGCCAUCCCGCCAACGGUCAUUGGCGGCUCCGUCUCCUCUCGGCCCCUGCAAGAAACUGCUCCCGAACCCCCAUCGGACCCGACCGGGUCCUGUGUCUCACCUCCUCCGCUGAGACCCAAAGGGGAGAGGCCUGUCCCGUACAUCCCGUGCCCCCGCAAGACGCCUACUACAACAAUUAGAUUUAUGCAUAUUUUGUAUCUCCCAUUUAUUACAUUUUUUAUCUUCAAAUUUGAUAUACGAAUUCUAGAGUUCUAUGUAUUUUUUUUUUUCCGAGAAAAAGAAUAACUUUUUAAAAAUCUCAGAAAUAAAUAAAGUAACAACUAGAUGAGGGAUAGAUAUGAGUAAUUUUACCUUUGGAGUUUUUAGUUGGUCAGUCUCUUGAUGUCUGUACCUACUCUUCUGAAGAGAUCUUUACUGAGGUGGUGAAAAUGUGUUAACAUUUAAGCAUUUUGUUUCCUUUAGGUUAUAUCAGUGAAAAUUAAGUUAUGUUUGUUACUAGCAGUUACUACUAUCUGUCACAUCACUGCAAACUAUUACAUUGGAAACGGACUAGGAAAAAAUAUCAAAAUCCUAAGAAAAACGCAGUUAUGUUGUCUCAGAUGGGAUUUUGCUAAAAUACACUCUAGUGUGGUACACCAUGCUUUUGUGUAUC
ensembl:lncRNA